rnacentral:rRNA from 1 species
AAGGCUUCGGCCUUAGUGGCGCACGGGUGCGUAACGCGUGGGAAUCUGCCCUUGGGUUCGGAAUAACAGUGAGAAAUUACUGCUAAUACCGGAUGAUGACUUCGGUCCAAAGAUUUAUCGCCCAAGGAUGAGCCCGCGUAAGAUUAGCUAGUUGGUGAGGUAAAGGCUCACCAAGGCGACGAUCUUUAGCUGGUCUGAGAGGAUGAUCAGCCACACUGGGACUGAGACACGGCCCAGACUCCUACGGGAGGCAGCAGUGGGGAAUAUUGGACAAUGGGCGAAAGCCUGAUCCAGCAAUGCCGCGUGAGUGAUGAAGGCCUUAGGGUUGUAAAGCUCUUUUACCAGGGAUGAUAAUGACAGUACC